AUGUUAUUGAAAAUUACAACUCAUCAAAUUACAAGUCAGAGAUUGUUAAGGAUUUGUCAUCUCUAUAGUUGCUUUGGAGUCUGCAUUCAGUACUAGUGGUCGAUUCUUUACUCCUCAUCGUAGUAGAUUACGCCCACAUACAUUGGAGGCAUUAAUGUGCCUUCAAGAUUGGAUGCACUGAUGUAAGAGGAUCUUCCAAAUCAAGAGAGAACUUCAAUUUUAUUACAAAUACUAUACUAGAAGAUAUCGAUGAUGAUG